UAGGGGCUGGAAAGGUGACU
rnacentral:miRNA from 1 species